rnacentral:misc_RNA from 1 species
GAUGAGGAACGUAGCGAAAUGCGAUACUUGGUGUGAAUUGCAGAAUCCCGUGAACCAUCGAGUCUUUGAACGCAAGUUGCGCCCGAAGCCACUAGGCCGAGGGCACGCCUGCCUGGGCGUCACACGUCGUUGCCCCCCCCCCAUCUACUCCUUCGGGAUUGCGGGGGGCGGAUGAUGGCCUCCCGUGCGCCUAGCCGCGCGGUUGGCAUAAAUACCAAGUCCUCGGCGACGCACGCCACGACAAUCGGUGGUUGCGAAACCUCGGUUGCCCGUCGUGUGCGUUCGUCGCGCAUCGAGGGCUCGAAAAAAUGCUCGGCUCCGGCUCGGCUUUCAACGCGACCCCAGGUCAGGCGGGGUUACCCGCUGAAUUUAAGCAUAUCAAUAAGCGGAGGA